CCGACAGCAUGCAGUUCCCGGGCUCCUGUGCACAGCAGCUCCAGAGAGGCUUCUCCCUUGCACAAGCACACAAGAAUCAGGGCUGUUUCAGAGGGUUGCGGAAGUCAUUAUGGGUGUGUGGCUUGUUUUAAAACCCGGCCUUCGACGGGCCUGGCCGUGGAGUCCUCGCCCAGGCCAGGCCAGGCCAGGCCAGGCGGCCAUAAAUCUCUGCAGGCCUCCUGGGCCUAGACCAGAGAUGCCGGAGCUGGGCCUGGCGGUGGCUCUGCACCGCGUGGCCCGUGACUGCACGCUGGCACAGGGUGGCAGGGAGCCCUCAGACUUAGCACGUGUGAUGUCCAAACCCUAAUCCCGGGGCUUCCAGGGAGAAGAAAACAGAGUGGGAGCUGUUUCUGGUGUCUCCCGGUCGAAAUGAAAGCAUGGCAUUGUGACUCAAUAAUGCGGCUCUUCCUCUUCUGUUUAUUUUCAGAAGUUUAUGCAAAGAAAUGUUUCGAGCAUGAAUGAGCACGCUGAACUUUUUGCCUCUCUCCACUGGCGUGCCAGCGAAUAAAACAGCCAUUCACACCUGAGCACCGAGCAGCCAAAUGGGGCCGGUGCCAGGCAAAAUCGGAUUCUUUGUAGCCACGGCCAUUCAUCCAAAGUGUGCUCUCAGAGUGCCAAAUUUCUAGCCAAUAUUUUCCCUUCACCGAAGCCCCAGUGUACUAAAACAGGUCCUGAACCAGAGAGCCUCUCACACACACAGCCAACCCCCAGCGAAGGGCUCCGGGAUCCCAGGCCUGUUGGCUGAUAAUUAUAUUCACAUCUUGAAGAAACCCGAGAAGGAGAAAUUAACACCAAACUAUACUGUUUUCAUUGCGUUAUGCAGAUGAAAUGACAAGUUGUCGUUUAAGAAGUUAAUAAACAGUCUCCGUUUUGCAGGUUAUCCAAAUGCUACUGAAUAGAAAACCUUGGAUCCCUAAAUGAUGUGUAAUUAAAAUUAUUUUUAAAAUCCUCCUUGACAGGCCGGGGCUUAGCCAAAAUGUAAAUGACAUUAAAGAAGACAAUGAAUUUAAUUUUAUUUAAUGUCCCUUUUUGCAGAUCCUCAUUUACAUAGCAUUUUUAACAAAAGCGUUGACCUUAUAAACGCUGGCAUUUGUACAGCUCCCUCGGAGUUGGAUUUAAUCACGCUCCGGCAAAGCCAUGAGGGAGGAAGCCUUAAGUUCUCUGCUUGGAGAUGGAGCAGGAAUAAAAACAUUGGGACUGGUCAAAUGUUUAUCCUCCCCGCUUCUGAAAACAACCUGACAAGAAGAUGUAAGGGGCUAGGGAAUAACCCGGUGCUGUUUGUAAGGCUUGGUAAUAAUCACACAUAAUCGUUUGGAAAUAUAGCUAAUAAAAAUAUAAUGAGUGUUCAGCAAAAUCGGCAUUAGGCCCAAAUUACAUGAUAUUAAUACUUGAACAGGUGCAGAAAGGCGCUUUAAAUGAGGUAAAUGAAUAAAAUGUCCCAGAGCACAACUGUGUGUGCUGACAAAAAGUCAAUGCCAUGAAUAAUUCAGCGAGGAGGAUUGCCAGCAAAGGUCGGCUCUCUUUGACCUUUGUGACAGGAAGUGAAAGGAAACACUGUUGACUAAAAAAAAAAAAAGAAAGAAAGAAAGAAAAAGAGAAAGAACGAAGGAACACCUCCGCUCGGGCUCCGGCUCCCCUUCUGCCAUCACUUGAAAGGUGUAAACUUAAAACUCUUAAAUGAGCCAAAGGAGGCUCCGGAGGGGCUGGCAGCCUAAACCUGUGGAAGGUAGCGCAUCGAACUAAAGGCGAUGGGAAAUCGCAGACAAUGAAAGGUUAAGUCAAUAAUAUCUUCCUACAACCCAGUGUCAAUUAUGUAUAAAAAAAUCUGAGGUCAGCUGAAAAGUAUUUUCAGAGCCCACAGGGUUGAAAUUUUGUAACAGCUGUUAAAUAUGACAAAACUACCCCCCCCCCAAACUAAAGCUAUUCCAAACUCUGUAUGAAAGAAAAUGGGAUAAACAGAUGUCUGGCUUCCAGACAGGAAAGUAGGACAGACUUGGAAUGAUAAGUCUCCCAAACUCUGAGCCCAGUGCCAGAUUUACGGGGGAAGGGGCACUGCCUGCCACAGAGAUGCCAGCGAGCAGGGCGCCCGAGACGGUGCCAUCUGGACCCGCCCCGCCGAGCGUGCCCCCGCGCUGCCCCGGAGCACGCAGUGUGCGACCCGGCCCCUCUGGGCGGUCACGUCACCCGGCUCCCGCCACCUCCAGUCUGCAACAGUUGGACCCUGCAGCUCUGGUCCGGGGAGGCCCAGCACGGAAGGGGAGGAUGCAACGUUGCCCAAGGAAGAUGAUAAGCAGCAAGAUGAAGAGCAGCAAAUGUAAAGAAUGCAUACAGCUAAUCUAGUUAUGGAAAUUAAUGUUGGAAAAUGUAACCAGCAUGUGUAAUUAGUUUCAAUUAUAACAAC